CUGAAGGCUCAGCCUAUGGGAUCGGAUGCUGUUUCCCCACAGAUCGUGUUCGAACUGAAGUGAGCUGAGCUGACCUGAACUGAAUGAGAGGACAUGAGGCCGGUAGGCACAAGAGGACUGUGUGGUGGGGAGAGAUCCUCACACGUCUGAGGAACCAGGGGUCACGGAAGGAUGCUAUAUUAUGGUUUGCAAGCUGUUUCCAAAACACCACCACCUCCUUGGGUUUCUGUCCUCAAAGAGAAGAAAUACAAGAUUCCAUGUGCACAACCAGACUAUAUUCUGAUCAUCAGUUAUCUGUUCUAUGCCAAGCAUUGUGGGAAGAACACAACAUUAAAAGAAGACACGAU
rnacentral:lncRNA from 1 species